GACGUAGGGGGCCAGCGUUGCUCGGAAUUACUGGGUGUAAAGGGUUCGUAGGCGGUGUGGCAAGUCGGGAGUGAAAUCUCUGAGCUUAACUCAGGGCCUGCUUCCGAAACUGCUGUGCUAGAGUGUGGGAGAGGCGCGUGGAAUUGCAGGUGUAGCGGUGAAAUGCGUAGAUAUCUGCAGGAACACCCGUGGCGAAAGCGGCGCGCUGGACCACUACUGACGCUGAGGAACGAAAGCUAGGGGAGCAAACAGG
rnacentral:rRNA from 1 species